rnacentral:pre_miRNA from 1 species
AUUGUUCUUUGGUCUUUCAGCCAUGACCUGACCUUCUGUCUGUGAGACCAAAGAACUACUU